rnacentral:lncRNA from 1 species
AUGCACCCACAGCCCCUACACGUACACCCCGUGGCCCCAAGCCCAGCCUGGCCGGGGGGUGAGUGCAGUGCUCUGGCCGCUGUCCUCUUUGGGCUGGGGACCGCAGCCUCGUCCCCACGGCUCUGCUCUGCCGGGGCUCAUAGCUCUGCUCUCCAGCCCCUCCUGAGCCUGUCCCCAGUUUGGGAACUGGGGACAGCUCCCACAGGACAGCGUACGCGGUGCUGGGGCACGUGCUGCCCUGCUCCCAGCAGCCGGCUCCGACUCAGUGCCUCCGCGAUGUCCAGAGCUUUGCUGGGUGCCAGAGACCCUCCGGGCUGCGUUCCACGGGGCUGGGAAGGUCUCAUCUCCCUGCUCCCCCUUCCCAGGCAGCUCAGGGAAAGCCGCCUGCCUCCUGUCGUGCCCUGCUCCCAGCCAGGCAGGAUCCGGCCAGCCCCACACGUCCCAGCCCUGCCGCCUCCAUCCCGCCGCCGCGGCCGGCAGACAAAGCCCGACCAGACAAAGCCGCAGCCCCGGCCCCUGGGCAGCUUCCCCGCCUGCACGGCGAGGGGACGACAAAUCCUGCAGCCAUCAUCCGGCACCCGGGGCCCCUCGCCUGCCUCCGUAGGCAUCGGGAGGCGCGCGGCGCAGGCAGCGUCGCGGGACGGGCGGCGAGGCCGCAGGCAGCCUGCACGGCACCCCAGCCCCUCACGCACGCACCGAGCAGUCUUUAAAAUGAAGGCAAAUACCUUUUUCCUCGCAGCUCCACCGUCCGCCACCUGUCCUGCCUCGGCCACGCGGCGCCUCCGCCGUUCUGCCCGUCCUCCAUGCACCGCCACCUGCGCCGGGACGGGCUUCAGACCCUCCUCUCCCCUCCGGCGGGUUUCGGCCCCACGCUGCCUGCUGGCAUUUUGGCAGCUUCGCCGCUCCAGCGAUGGCAUGUGUCCAUUUUUUUUUUUUUUUUUUUUCUCUCUCCUCGCUCCCUUUCACAAUCCAUCCCCAGCCUCUCCGCCGCUGCCUCCGGAGCCGCCUGCGGUGCCAGCUCGCAGGGAAAUUGGCAGCGAGCGCGGCGCGGGGACGCUCCCGCAGCUGAGCGGAGCCCCUCUGCCAUCACCCGCCCUGGCACGGGGCCGGGGCGGCGGGGGGCUGCUGCCGCUCGCCAGCCCUUCCCAGCACCGCUGCCAAAAGCCAAACGAGGGGGGGAAGAAAAGGGAAAAAAAAAAAAGGCAGAGAAAGGAUCUGGCGGCGCCGCCAUCACCGGCCAUGGGGGACCCGCUGGCGACCCUUCCUUUUGCCAUGUCCUCGUCCCUCGGUGGAGGGUGCGGGGGCCCUGUUGUGGCCCUGCUGCCCCUCAUGGGGAGGCUCGGCCCCGUCUGUCCCUGUGUCCCCACCCGCAUCCCCAUCCCGGCCGGGCGAGCCCUUCCCGAGGAGCGGGAGGCGACGCCGGCAGCCCCGGCGCGGCGAUGCUGCGUGGCGAGCACGGCUCCCGCAGACACACCUCUUACCCAGCAUCCGCCUGCCGCGAGAGGGGGGCCCAGGAAAUUGGGAAGGGGAGAGCGGAGGAGGGACUCAGCGCCGAUGGGUGGGCGGCUUUGGGGACCCCCCAGCCGUCUGCCACCCUGCACGGCCACCGCGGCCUGGUGCGAUGCGGCGUCCCCACGCCGCCCCCCAGGUGGCACCGAGCCGUGCCCCAGCUGGGACGGACAGCCCGGCCGUCGGCAGGGCAGGCGAUGGCAUCGCAGCCCUCCACACCUCUCCGGCUUUUGCUUUUCUUCCCUAAAUUCCUAA